GAUGAAGAACGUAGUAAAAUGCGAUAAGUAAUGUGAAUUGCAGAAUUCAGUGAAUCAUCGAAUCUUUGAACGCACAUUGCGCCCGCCAGUAUUCUGGCGGGCAUGCCUGUUCGAGCGUCAUUUCAACCCUCAAGCACAGCUUGGUGUUGGGACUCGCGUUAAUUCGCGUUCCCCAAAUUGAUUGGCGGUCACGUCGAGCUUCCAUAGCGUAGUAGUAAAACCCUCGCUACUGGUAAUCGUCGCGGCCACGCCGUUAAACCCCAACUUCUGAAUGUUGACCUCGGAUCAGGUAGGAAUACCCGCUGAACUUAAGCAUAUCAAUAAGCGGAGGA
rnacentral:misc_RNA from 1 species